AUACGGAGGAUCCGAGCGUUAUCCGGAUUUAUUGGGUUUAAAGGGAGCGCAGGCGGAGAUGCAAGCGUGACGUCAAAUUUCGGGGCUCAACCCCGUCUCGCGUCGCGAACUGCGUCCCUUGGUUGCGGGAAGGGGAGGCGGAACUCGUGGGGUAGCGGUGAAAUGCAUAGAUAUCACGAAGAACUCCGAUCGCGAAGGCAGCCUUCCGGCCCGUCAACGACGCUCAUGCUCGAAGGUGCGGGUAUCAAACAGGAUUAGAUACCCUGGUAGUCCGCACAGUAAACGAUGGACACCCGCGGUUUGGCCUGUAUGGCUGAGCCGCCAAGCGAAAGCGUUAAGUGUCCCACCUGGGGAGUACGCCGGCAACGGUGAAACUCAAAGGAAUUGACGGGG
rnacentral:rRNA from 1 species